rnacentral:rRNA from 1 species
UCCGUAGGCGGACUAAUAAGUCAGUGGUGAAAUCUUUCGGCUCAACCGAGAAACUGCCAUUGAUACUGUUAGUCUUGAGUUCGGUUGAGGUAGGCGGAAUGUGUAAUGUAGCGGUGAAAUGCUUAGAUAUUACACAGAACACCAAUUGCGUAGGCAGCUUACUAGACCGACACUGACGCUGAGGCACGAAAGCGUGGGGAGCGAACAGGAUUAGAUACCCUGGUAGUCC